AAUUAUGCUCAUAUCUAGUAUAACUGGACCAACCUGGUGCUCUUCAUUUAUGGAGGCUGUUGAGUCUGAAUGUUGGAUGUUGUGUAUCUCGUGUUCUCUGGGCUUUGUUGUCCUCAGUCUUUUUGCAGGAUCAGAAAACAAAACCAGGAUGACCGUAAAUGUUUCUUCUCCAAUUGGAUGAUGAUAAGACCGUGACACGGUAUGCCACCUUUAGUCUUGUGAUGAAGCAAAGCUCAGGAAGAAGUAUGAUUAAAUGGUACCCACAUGUGUGCUGCUGAGAAGGAUGUACAAGGGCACCUGCAGCCAAAUCCAAGCCUCCUCAGAGCAGAGCAGCAGUUUGUGCUCACAGAUGGUGACGGUGUGGAGAGACGGUGGUGUUUCCUCAGAAGAACUAGCAGAGUCACCAAGGGCACCAGUCCAUCUCACCACCUUGACUUGCUGACUGAUGCUCGUCUGCACUGCACAGAGGAAAUCAACUGACCGAGGAGUGUUUCUGAGUGAGGGAGAGAGGAGUCAUCAUCCAGGUAAAGUGACGUGGAUCAGUGGAUACACUUGUCUCCCCUUUAAAGGAGACGAUCCGAGUCAUCCCUAAAUAUGAGCAGGAUAUCAGUCUUGGACUGUGUAACCUGCAGGAGCAGCACUGAAUGAUCACCACACAUGAGCAUGUUCCUGCAACAUUCAGCAGCUUUGCUUUUGUGUCAAAUGUCAAACAGCUGGAGAGGAAACUAAACCAGUACUGGGAUGUUUCACCAACACGUGCCAGAUGCUGUUCCUUCAUGGUGACAUCACCAGAGACAGCCCCGCCCACCUCAGGACCUCGCCAUUGAUCAUGAUGAUUAUAAUGAUGACAGCGAGCAGAACUAAGACUGUAAAAAUCCACGACCAGAAUGUUUAGAUGCUUUCUAAUUAUUAAUGAAUACUGAGAGCCUCUUUCUGUGUUUUGUCUGUUUUGGGUUGUUUUUUUUACCUCAUUUGUUACUAACAAAGUUCACCAAACUCACACAGUU